GACGAACGCUGGCGGCGUGCUUAACACAUGCAAGUCGAACGGAAAGGCCCUGCUUUUGUGGGGUGCUCGAGUGGCGAACGGGUGGGUAACACGUGAGUAACCUGCCCUUGACUUUGGGAUAACUUCAGGAAACUGGGGCUAAUACCGGAUAGGAGCUCCUGCUGCAUGGUGGGGGUUGGAAAGUUUCGGCGGUUGGGGAUGGACUCGCGGCUUAUCAGCUUGUUGGUGGGGUAGUGGCUUACCAAGGCUUUGACGGGUAGCCGGCCUGAGAGGGUGACCGGCCACAUUGGGACUGAGAUACAGCCCAGACUCCUACGGGAGGCAGCAGUGGGGAAUAUUGCACAAUGGGCGGAAGCCUGAUGCAGCAACGCCGCGUGCGGGAUGACGGCCUUCGGGUUGUAAACCGCUUUCGCCUGUGACGAAGAGUGAGUGACGGUAAUGGGUAAAGAAGCACCGGCUAACUACGUG
rnacentral:rRNA from 1 species